rnacentral:sRNA from 18 species
GUGACUCGCAGGUGGAGACACGCUGUACACCGGGAAUGCAUCGAACUCGCGUUUAAGCGGUCUGUAAGGCCGUCGGCGUCCUGGGGAAGGGUCACGGAAGUGACCCUUCUUUUUUAUUGU